rnacentral:rRNA from 1 species
AUACGAAAGGUGCAAGCGUUGUUCGGAUUUACUGGGCGCAAAGAUAGUGUAGGUUGUUUAUUAAGUCGGAUGUGAAAUCCCGGGGCUCAACCUCGGAACUGCAUUCGAUACUGAUAGGCUAGAGUUUGGGAGGGGUAAGCGGAAUUCCGUGUGUAGCAGUGAAAUGCGUAGAUAUACGGAGGAACACCUGAGGCGAAGGCGGCUUACUGGACCAAUACUGACACUGAGACUCGAAAGCGUGGGUAGCAAACAGGAUUAGAAACCCUAGUAGUCC